AUUGAACGCUGGCGGCAGGCCUAACACAUGCAAGUCGAGCGGAUGAAGGGAGCUUGCUCCUGGAUUCAGCGGCGGACGGGUGAGUAAUGCCUAGGAAUCUGCCUGGUGGUGGGGGAUAACGUCCGGAAACGGGCGCUAAUACCGCAUACGUCCUGAGGGAGAAAGUGGGGGAUCUUCGGACCUCACGCUAUCAGAUGAGCCUAGGUCGGAUUAGCUAGUUGGUGGGGUAAAGGCCUACCAAGGCGACGAUCCGUAACUGGUCUGAAAGGAUGAUCAGUCACACUGGAACUGAGACACGGUCCAGACUCCUACGGGAGGCAGCAGUGGGGAAUAUUGGACAAUGGGCGAAAGCCUGAUCCAGCCAUGCCGCGUGUGUGAAGAAGGUCUUCGGAUUGUAAAGCACUUUAAGUUGGGAGGAAGGGCAGUAAGUUAAUACCUUGCUGUUUUGACGUUACCAACAGAAUAAGCACCGGCUAACUUCGUG
rnacentral:rRNA from 1 species